GAAAUAACUAAUAGAACAAAGGAAAUCUAUUUAACUUGAUAGCGAAGGGGUAGGCACAGGUGUGAUUUCCUCUAUGAUAAUCUCUCACACAGGAAACCAUGAUUUCAGACAAAUGGUUUAUCUUUAAAUCUCUUCCACUUUUAGCAGAUCACAGUUCAGAGCCUCAAAGAGGCUGUUUAAUUUAUUAUAUUUGUGUCAGCAAAUAGGUACCACUAAAUUUCUCACUUUAGACCUCACAUUUAAAACUAUUAAACUAUAUCAACUUUGGGAAGUUGUUCAUAAUCAUUUGGAAAUGUAUACAUUCUCAAGGACAUAACUCAGACCAUAGUUUUCCUAGGUUCAAAAGCCUAGUUUCACUACCUAUUCUAGGUCUCUUAGUACCUCCUUGAAGAUGGCUCUGUAUAUAGAGUAGAAAGAUAAUGGUGGAUCUAAGCACAUAUGAGGCACCAUCUUGAGAGACCACAAAGUAUAGUAGGAAAGAGCACAAGACUGAAUUUUAUCCCAACUCUGCAAAAGUUACCUUUCUUAGAAUGAGUUUCCUUAUCUAUAAAAUUCCUGAAUUAAGAUCAUAUGAUAAUACAGUACUGUAAACUUGAAGUAAGGUAAUUGCCAGUUUGUGUAAGUAUAACAUAAUAUACUUUUCAGUUCUGCCACAUUUCAACAUAGUAACUGUUCCCUUUAUGUACGUGGCUUUGAAGGUUUAUUCUUUGUUGUGUGUCAGCUUCUUGGAAGGAUAGCUCCUAGUACUGCAUAAUAAUAAUAAUACUUGCAACCACUUAUUGAGUACUUGCCAUGUUUCAGGUAACACACUGGACACUUAAUACUCAUGAUUUUAUCUAACUGUGACAGUGACUCUUAGCAUGAUACCACAGUCACAUUUUCACACGCGGAAACGUGAAUUUAAAGAGUUUAAAGAAUAUGCAUAAGGUCACACCCUAACAAAUGGUAUAGCCAAUAUUUGAACCAUCCAUCCAGUUCUAAAACCUGUGGGCUUUCUACAGUAUCCCACUGUGUCUGGUAUGUGUCAAUUUAUGGGAUUACUGAGAAUUGCCUCUAAGGGAUGCAUUUGACUAAAAGUAUUAUUUAGUAAAUAUACACAUUUUAAACCUGAUAGCUUUAUGCAGAAUGAUUGUAGAUAAAAUAACUUUGCGAGGUAAUUUAAAUAGGAAGAAACAGCAGACUUAGCUGUUGAUAGGACUGGACCAUUCUCAUUUAAAAAUUAGUUUGUGAGUAAGGAUUUUUGUUAGUGCUCUAAUUUUUGUUUUAAGGUGAAUGAAGCUUUUGCUCCCCAGUACUUGGCUGUUGAGAGGAGUUUGGAUCUUGACAUAAGUAAAACCAAUGUGAAUGGAGGAGCCAUUGCUUUGGGUCACCCACUGGGAGGAUCUGGAUCAAGAAUUACUGCACACCUGGUUCACGAAUUAAGGCGUCGAGGUGGAAAAUAUGCCGUUGGAUCAGCUUGCAUUGGAGGUGGCCAAGGUAUUGCUGUCAUCAUUCAGAGCACAGCCUGAAGAGACCAGUGAGCUCACUGUGACCCAUCCUUACUCUACUUGGCCAGGCCACAGUAAAACAAGUGACCUUCAGAGCAGCUGCCACAACUGGCCAUGCCCUGCCAUUGAAACAGUGAUUAAGUUUGAUCAAGCCAUGGUGACACAAAAAUGCAUUGAUCAUGAAUAGGAGCCCAUGCUAGAAGUACAUUCUCUCAGAUUUGAACCAGUGAAAUAUGAUGUAUUUCUGAGCUAAAACUCAACUAUAGAAGACAUUAAAAGAAAUCGUAUUCUUGCCAAGUAACCACCACUUCUGCCUUAGAUAAUAUGAUUAUAAGGAAAUCAAAUAAAUGUUGCCUUAACUUC
rnacentral:lncRNA from 1 species